UACAGAGGAGCCAAGCGUUGUUCGGAAUUACUGGGCGUAAAGGGCGCGUAGGCGGUACUUCAAGUCAGGCGUGAAAGCCCCGGGCUCAACCUGGGAACCGCGCUUGAGACUGGAGAACUAGAGUUCGGGAGAGGAUGGUGGAAUUCCCAGUGUAGAGGUGAAAUUCGUAGAUAUUGGGAAGAACACCGAUGGCGAAGGCAGCCAUCUGGACCGACACUGACGCUGAGGCGCGAAAGCGUGGGGAGCAAACAGG
rnacentral:rRNA from 1 species